UAUAUUAGAUACAAACUGUCCAUCAACUCUACCUUUAACAAAUAAUGCUUUGAGAUGUUGUCUCUCAUUAUCAGUAGGUUUCUCAAAGACAACCAUCAUUGGAUCUAGUGCCAGCUGAGCUACUUGAUCGGAGGGAACUACUUCUUCCUCAUCAUCAGAAGGUGCCAGAAACUCCAUCGGCAACAUAAACACCAUAUUAAUAUAUGCCGAUGGGCCCUUACCAUUAUGCUUCGACUGCCCCUGCUGAUCUUCGAGCUUCUUAUCAAAAGAGCUUUCCUCUCUGUAC
rnacentral:lncRNA from 1 species